rnacentral:lncRNA from 1 species
UUCAAUGAUUUACAGGCAAGCCCUUCAUUAGAAAUUGAAGACUCAAAAAAGGAUACUGAAGAGAGAACCUUAGUAGAAGGAAGUAUUGAUACUGCUGACCGGGAAUCAGCACCGGCUGCAGCAAAACCAGAAGAGACAAAGCUAAAGGAAGCUCCUAUAUCUGACAUCUCGAGCUCAAUGAUUAGUGAUGAAACUUUGAAGGAAAGCAAAAAGGAAGAUCAAAGCACCCCAUUGAAGGUAACAGAAAAGGUCAGCUAAUAUAAAUGAAAGUUGAUUUGGGUCCAAAAAUGUGUUCUUUUUGACCAUUGUUAGCUGCUAACUUGCACAUCCAAUCUUUUUACAGGCAAGCUCUUCAUCUGAGCUUGAGGACUCAAACAAGGAUGCUGAAGAGAAAACCUUAGUAGAAGAAAGUAUCGAUGCUGCUGACAGGGAAUCUGCACCGGCUGCAGUGGAACCAGAAGAGACAAAGCUAAAGGCAGCUGAAGCAGACGCAGAAGAGAAAAAGCAGGAAACAGAAAAUGUUGUUGCCACUGAAGAAAACAGCC